rnacentral:rRNA from 1 species
UACAUGGGGUGCAAACGUUGCUCGGAAUUAUUGGGCGUAAAGCGCACGUAGGCGGUUCGUUAAGUCGGAUGUGAAAGCCCUCGGCUCAACUGAGGAAGUGCACCCGAAACUGGCGAGCUUGAGUACGAAAGAGGAUCGCGGAAUUCCCGGUGUAGAGGUGAAAUUCGUAGAUAUCGGGAGGAACACCGGUGGCGAAGGCGGCGACCUGGUCCGAUACUGACGCUGAGGCGCGAAAGCGUGGGGAGCAAACAGG